UUCAUGGGAUGGCUGGUGAAGUGGAGUGGAGCGGCUGGCAGAGCAGAGCAGUUCGUGGGAUGGCUGGAGAGGUCACAGGAUGGUUGGUGGAGCAAAGUGGUUGGCGGGGCAGAGCAGUUCACAGGAUGGCUGGAAUGGAGUGGAGCAGAGCGGCUGGAAGAGCAGAGGAGUUCGCAGGACAGCUGGAGUGGCUCGCGGGACGGCUGGUGGAGCGGAUCAGCUGGCGGAAUGGCUCGUGGUGACGGCUGCAGCAGAACCACACGGAGAGGCAGGGCAGUUGGCCUCAGAAAUGAGCACUCGAAGGGGCUGUGUUCAGUGGGUAUACAAAGCAAGUGCCCUCCCACUACAGAGGGGUAGUUCAUGGAGAGUACCGCUCUGGACUUACAAUGGGUCUUCAGCUAAGUGACCUGACUGUUUGGAUCCAGAUGGUGGGGACUACAAAUCUCCAGCAGAAUAUUGAAGAUGAGAAUGUUUUUUGCCAUGGACAAGAUUUUGAUUCGAAUCAGCUAAUAAGGCAUUGUUGAUGGCAUUGGUGAGACCAUUGCCGGAUACUAUGUCCAGUUCUGCACUUCAGUACAUUUCCUGCAGGAUUGGAGAGAGAUCGGAAAAGAGCUGCAAGAAUGUUUCGUGGACUGGAAAAUCUGCCUAGAGGCUUAAAGAGGAUAACUUGACCACAGUUUUUAAGUGGAGUAUAGGAGUCGACAGGAAAUCGACCACCGAUGCAUCAAUUGCCUCCUGUUGAUCCCCCGCUCACUUGUUAGACAUGUGUCUCUGCAGACUGGAGCCAGCUGCUCAUUUCCAAACCCAGGUAACACCAAGAAAUGUGCAUCUUCUAAACUAAAAUGACCAGAAAAGAAUGUCCUGUGUAUCUGCCUAGUCAUUUCUCUCCCAACAAUGUGCUAGUCCACUCCAUGGGCCUUUCGCUGCAGGAGUGAAAUUAAUGGAAGAUAUUCAGAUCCUGUGUUGGAGAGGAAGAGGAUGAGGAGAGAAUUAGAGUCCACAGCUCUGAUCCUUCUUGACAUCUUGGACAAUAUGAUGCC